GACUUUAUUUUGAAAAAUGUUUUGAAAGCAUUUUAAAAGAAAUAAUUCUUUAAAGUCA
rnacentral:tRNA from 1 species